rnacentral:sRNA from 12 species
GAGCUGUACGGGCGUUAUGUCGCUGUGGCCCGGUACCAGACCCCAAAGGAGAACGAUGUCAGGGGUCUGGGCAGCUA